UACGAAGGGGGCGAGCGUUGUUCGGAAUUACUGGGCGUAAAGGGCGCGCAGGCGGCCUUAGAAGUCAGAUGUGAAAGCCCCGGGCUCAACCUGGGAAUGGCAUUUGAUACUCUGAGGCUGGAGUACGGGAGAGGAGAGUGGAAUUCCCAGUGUAGAGGUGAAAUUCGUAGAUAUUCGGAAGAACACCAGUGGCGAAGGCGACUACCUGGUCUGGCAUUGACGCUCAUGUGCGAAAGCGUGGGGAGCAAACAGG
rnacentral:rRNA from 1 species